rnacentral:rRNA from 1 species
GACGAACGCUGGCGGCGUGCUUAACACAUGCAAGUCGAACGGAAAGGCCCUGCUUUUGUGGGGUGCUCGAGUGGCGAACGGGUGAGUAACACGUGAGUAACCUGCCCUUGACUUUGGGAUAACUUCAGGAAACUGGGGCUAAUACCGGAUAGGAGCUCCUGCUGCAUGGUGGGGGUUGGAACGUUUCGGCGGUUGGGGAUGGACUCGCGGCUUAUCAGUUUGUUGGUGGGGUAGUGGCGUACCAAGGCUUUGACGGGUAGCCGGCCUGAGAGGGUGACAGGCCACAGUGGGACUGAGGUACGGGCCAGACUGCUACGGGAGGCAGCGGUGGGGAAUAGUGCACAAUGGGCGGAAGCCGUAUGCAGCAACGCCGCGUGCGGGAUGACGGCCGUCGGGGUGUAAACCGCUUUCGCCUGUGACGAAGCGUGAGUGACGGUAAUGGGUAAAGAAGCACCGGCUAACUACGUG